GUUGCUGCUGCUGUUGUUGUUGCGGGUGAUGGUGGUGGUAGGCGGCUGAGAGCGGAGACAGCCGCUGCGGGAAGCCAGCCGGGACUUCGGAGGGCGCCACCACUGGGGUGGGUCGAAGCGGGGAUCUGGCCGCCGCUUGGAAAGAGGCGUGCGGGUGAACCGAGCCCAAGUGCGCGGUGAGGGCGGCGGCCGAGGCCCCUGCCAGGCCCUCCGGGGCCGCCCCCAGAUCCCCCACGCCGGCGUGCAGAAUGUCUGCGAUGCAGAAGGAGGGCUUUUUGACGGCGGCGGGGUCCAAGGGGAAGGAGCAGCCGCCUGGGCCGGCCGAGGAGCAGUAAGCGGCCGACCAGAGGCUGAAGUUGGAGGCGUAGAAGGGAGCCAGCCCGGCUGCGAACAUCCUGCCGGGAGAAGUGGUUUCACCACAUUGCCCAGGCUGGUCUCAAAUUCCUGAGUUCAAGUGAUCUGCACACCUCAGCCCUGCAAAGUGCUGGGAAUACAGGCGUAAGCCACUGUGCCCAACUGAAACAUGUUUAAUAUAAUUAUUUGAUAAACUUGGUUGUAAUGUUAUUUUUAUUGUAUUCACUGUGUUAUUUUCACUGUGUUCACUGUGUUAUUUUCAAUAAAUUCCUCUUCUUAAUGCUUUCAACAUAAGUUCCAUUAUGAAAGCAGUUUGGUGUCUCUUUGUUUGUGGAGAUAGAGUCUCACUCCGUCGCCCAGGCUGGAGUGCAGUGGCAUGAUCUUGGCUCACUGCAACCUCUGCCUCCCAGGUUCAAUCGAUUCUCCU
rnacentral:lncRNA from 10 species